rnacentral:rRNA from 1 species
GAUCAGCGCGUUUUUUUCUCUAUACUCCGCGCGUAAAAAUAGCAUAUCAAUAAGCGGAGGAAAAGAAACCAACAGGGAUUGCCCUAGUAACGGCGAGUGAAGCGGCAACAGCUCAAAUUUGAAAUCUGGCUCUUUCAGAGUCCGAGUUGUAAUUUGCAGAGGGCGCUUUGGCUUUGGCAGCGGUCCAAGUUCCUUGGAACAGGACGUCACAGAGGGUGAGAAUCCCGUACGUGGUCGCUAGCUAUUGCCGUGUAAAGCCCCUUCGACGAGUCGAGUUGUUUGGGAAUGCAGCUCUAAAUGGGAGGUAAAUUUCUUCUAAAGCUAAAUAUUGGCCAGAGACCGAUAGCGCACAAGUAGAGUGAUCGAAAGAUGAAAAGCACUUUGGAAAGAGAGUCAAACAGCACGUGAAAUUGUUGAAAGGGAAGCGCUUGCAGCCAGACUUGCUUGCAGUUGCUCAUCCGGGCUUUUGCCCGGUGCACUCUUCUGUAGGCAGGCCAGCAUCAGUUUGGGCGGUGGGAUAAAGGUCUCUGUCACGUACCUUCCUUCGGGUUGGCCUUAUAGGGGAGACGCCAUACCACCAGCCUGGACUGAGGUCCGCGCAUCUGCUAGGAUGCUGGCGUAAUGGCUGUAAGCGGCCCGUCUUGAAACACGGACCAAGGAGUCUAACAUCUAUGCGAGUGUUUGGGUGUCAAGCCCGAACGCGUAAUGAAAGUGAACGGAGGUGGGAACCCGCAAGGGUGCACCAUCGACCGAUCCUGAAGUUUACGGAAGGAUUUGAGUAAGAGCAUGGCUGUUGGGACCCGAAAGAUGGUGAACUAUGCUUGAAUAGGGUGAAGCCAGAGGAAACUCUGGUGGAGGCUCGCAGCGGUUCUGACGUGCAAAUCGAUCGUCAAAUUUGGGCAUAGGGGCGAAAGACUAAUCGAACAUCAUGCCUCG